GCUGGGUGAGGUGGCUCACACCUGUAAUCCCAGAGCUUUGGGAAGCUGAGGUGGGAGGAUUGCUUGAGCCCAGGAGUUUGAGGCCAGCCUGGGCAACAUAGCAAAACCCCAUCUCUA
rnacentral:SRP_RNA from 1 species